rnacentral:rRNA from 1 species
UACGGAGGAUCCGAGCGUUAUCCGGAUUUAUUGGGUUUAAAGGGUGCGCAGGCGGGAGAUUAAGUCGGCGGUGAAAUUUUGCAGCUCAACUGUAAAAGUGCCUUCGAAACUGGUUUCCUUGAGUGUAGAUGAAGUAGGCGGAAUUUGUGGUGUAGCGGUGAAAUGCAUAGAUAUCACGAGGAACUCCGAUUGCGCAGGCAGCUUACUAAACCAUAACUGACGCUCAGGCACGAAGGCGUGGGGAUCAAACAGGAUUAGAUACCCUGGUA